rnacentral:rRNA from 1 species
GCACAAGCGGUGGAGCAUGUGAUUCAAUUCGAAGCAACGCGCAGAACCUUACCAGCCCUUGACAUCCCGGUCGCGAGUACCAGAGAUGGAACUCUUCAGUUCGGCUGGACCGGAGACAGGUGCUGCAUGGCUGUCGUCAGCUCGUGUCGUGAGAUGUUGGGUUAAGUCCCGCAACGAGCGCAACCCUCGCCCUUAGUUGCCAUCAUUUAGUUGGGCACUCUAAGGGGACUGCCGGUGAUAAGCCGCGAGGAAGGUGGGGAUGACGUCAAGUCCUCAUGGCCCUUACGGGCUGGGCUACACACGUGCUACAAUGGCGGUGACAAUGGGAUGCAAUGGGGUAACCCUGCGCAAAUCUCAAAAAGCCGUCUCAGUUCGGAUUGUGCUCUGCAACUCGAGCACAUGAAGUUGGAAUCGCUAGUAAUCGCAGAUCAGCACGCUGCGGUGAAUACGUUCCCGGGCCUUGUACACACCGCCCAAGGCGAA